rnacentral:rRNA from 1 species
GGGGCUGCGGCUGNUUAGGGUANUUGGCGGGGUAAAAGCCCNCCAAGCCAAUGAUCAGUAAGGNUUCUUAGCGGAAGAGCCCUGAGAGGGANUCUGAGACANUAUUCCCAGCCCUNCGGGGUGCAGCANUCGGGAGAAUUCUACAAUGCGCGCAAGCGUGACAGAGCAAGCCAGAGUGCUUUCAUAUAAUUUGAAAGCUUUUGUGAGAUGUAAAAAGUCUCACGAAUAAGGACUGGGCAAGACUGGUGCCAGCCGCCGCGGUAAUACCAGCGGUCCAAGUGGCANCCACUUUUAUUGGGUCUAAAACAUCCGUAGCUUGUCUCGUAAGUUUCUUGUNAAAUCUGGCAUCUUAAGNNUCGGGCGUGCAAGAAAUACUGNGAGGCUGGAGACCGGGAGACGUAAGGAGUACGGACGGGGUAGCGGUAAAAUGCGUUGAUCCUNUCUGGACUAACGAUAGCGAAGGCACCUUACGAGAACGGAUCUGNCAGUGAGGGAUGAAGGCUAGGGGCGCAAAACGGAUUAGAUACCCGUGUAGUCCUAGCAUGUAAACCCUNCACACUAAACAUCGGCACCUCUUCGAGAGGUAUCGGUGCUGUAGGGAAGCCGGAGAGUGUGCUAC